CCUACGGGAGGCAGCAGUGGGGAAUAUUGCGCAAUGGGCGAAAGCCUGACGCAGCGACGCCGCGUGAGGGAUGAAGGUCUUCUGAUCGUAAACCUCUGUCAACAGGGAAGAACGGUCACUGUGCUAAUCAGCAGUGAAUUGACGGUACCUGCAAAGGAAGCACCGGCUCACUCCGUGCCAGCAGCCUCAGAAAUACGGAGGGUGCGAGCGUUAAUCGGAAUUACUGGGCGUAAAGCGCUCGUAGGCGGUAUGGUAAGUCAAGGGUGAAAUCCCCGCGCUCAACGUGGGAACUGCCUUUGAAACUGGCAAACUGGAGUGUGUGAGAGGAUAGUGGAAUUCGAGGUGUAGGAGUGAAAGCCGUAGAUAUCUGGAGGAACAUCAGUGGCGAAGGCGACUAUCUGGCACAUAACUGACGCUGAGGAGCGAAAGCGUGGGUAGCAAACAGGAUUAGAUACCCGGGUAGUC
rnacentral:rRNA from 1 species